rnacentral:ncRNA from 2 species
GGCGGGUUUCGACUCUGACCUGUCUUCUCUAAGGCUUAAAGGCUAUGGGGGGACGGGCUGUGGGUUUCACUGGAAACGGUGGCGCCUCCCGUAUUUGGAAAGGAGUCGGAGGGUAUUGCAU